rnacentral:pre_miRNA from 1 species
AGGUUAACCGGAUAAGCGUCCUGUUGUCUUGAAAAGACCGCUGUUCCAGUUCAUCUUC